rnacentral:rRNA from 1 species
GAAAGCGAUGCUAAUACCGGAUAACAUCAUAUUAACCUUGGUUUUUAUGAUCAAAGAUGACCUCUACAUGUAAGUUGUUGUUUGAGGAGGAGCCCGCGUACCAUUAACUAGUUGGUGGGGUAAAGGCCUACCAAGGCUACGAUGGUUAGCUGGUCUGAGAGGAUGAUCAGCCACACUGGAACUGACACACGGUCCAGACUCCUACGGGAGGCAGCAGUGAGGAAUUUUGCGCAAUGGGGGAAACCCUGACGCAGCAACGCCGCGUGAGUGAUGAAGGCUUUAGGGUCGUAAAGCUCUGUCAAGUGGGAAGAACCUAUCCGGGAGUAAUAUGUCCGGGUAUUGACGGUACCACUGAAGGAAGCACCGGCUAACUCCGUGCCAGCAGCCGCGGUAAUACGGGGGGUGCAAGCGUUAUUCGGAAUCAUUGGGCCGUAAAGGGCACGCAGGCGGCCCUGGUAAGUCAGAUGGUGAA